rnacentral:lncRNA from 1 species
CUUCAGCAUGAGUCAGCGGCAAACACCCUCAAGUCAUGAGCUGGAACGCUCAGAAACGAUAUGUACCUUCAAUCAAAUUACAGAAUUAACUAGGGGAAAAUGAGGAAGAACUUUAGGUACAGACAGCGAGAGAUCUUCAAAAUACUAUUAAAAGAAGAAAGCACUCUCGGUGUAAAAAAGAAGCCGAGGCGAGCAGAUCACUUGACUUCAGGAGUUCAAGACCAGCCCAGCCAAAAUGGUGAAAUCCACCUCCACUAAAAAUACAAAAAUUAGCCAGGCAUGGUGGUGGGUGCCUGUAAUCCCAGCUACUUGGGAGGCUGAUGCAGAAGAAUUACGUGAACCUGGAAGGCGGAGGCUGCAGUGAGCCAAGAUGGUGCCACUACACUCCAGCCUGAAUGACAGAGGAAGACUCCGUCUCAAAAAAAAGAAAAAAGAAGAGGUGCUGCUUAUAAAACAGAAUAUGACAACUUUAUUGGGAGGAAAAAAGGUGUUUGGUAAAAUGAGGAAUGUUAUCAAAAGAGGGGAGGAGAAACUGCUGUUCAAAAAAGUCAAUAUCCUGAAAGGCUGUGGGAAACUUCCAGACUACAAAAAGCUAGAGACAUGAUAACUAAAUACAUUUCCUGACCCUAGACUGGAUCCUGUGCUGGAAGGGAAAAUUCUAGAAAGGACAUUAUAUGGUCAACUCCCAAAAUUAGAAUAUGGACAGGUUAGAAAAAAGUACUGCAUCAAUGUAAAUUUGUGAAAGUGGUAACGUAUUACUGUGGUUAUUUAAGAGAAUAUGCCUAUUCUUAGGAAAUACACAUUCAAGAAUUUAGGAUUAAGUGGCUACAGUGUAUGUAAUCUUCCCUGAAAUCUCAAAGGGUUUGGAAAAAUAUUGUAUGUCUGUAUAUUUGCAUUUGUUAGCCCAUGUCUGUGUGUCUGUAUGUGUAUCCGUAUGAGUGUGUAUUUGCAGACAGAGAAUUCCAGCACACACAAAUGAUUAAGCAAAUGGAUUUAAUCUUAACAACAGGUGGAUCUGGGUAAAGGACCAUCUGGGGAUUCUUUGUACUAUUUUUCUUUCCGCAACUUUUCAAGUUUCAAACUAUUUGCAAAUAAAGAGUUUUUGUU